rnacentral:rRNA from 1 species
GGUUAAGCGACUAAGCGUACACGGUGGAUGCCCUGGCAGUCAGAGGCGAUGAAGGACGUGCUAAUCUGCGAAAAGCGACGGCGAGGUGAUAUGAACCCUUGACCCGUCGAUGUCCGAAUGGGGAAACCCAGUGCAAUCCGUUGCACUAUCGUUAACUGAAUACAUAGGUUAACGAGGCGAACCGGGGGAACUGAAACAUCUAAGUACCCCGAGGAAAAGAAAUCAACCGAGAUUCCCCCAGUAGCGGCGAGCGAACGGGGAGCAGCCCGGAGUCUGAAUCAGCUUGUGUGUUAGUGGAACGGUCUGGAAAGUCCGACGGUACAGGGUGAUAGUCCCGUACACGAAAGCACACUUGCUGUGAACUCGAAGAGUAGGGCGGGACACGUGGUAUCCUGUCUGAAUAUGGGGGGACCAUCCUCCAAGGCUAAAUACUCCUGACUGACCGAUAGUGAACCAGUACCGUGAGGGAAAGGCGAAAAGAACCCCGGCGAGGGGAGUGAAAAAGAACCUGAAACCGUGUACGUACAAGCAGUGGGAGCCUCUUUUAUGGGGUGACUGCGUACCUUUUGUAUAAUGGGUCAGCGACUUAUAUUCUGUAGCAAGGUUAACCGUAUAGGGGAGCCGAAGGGAAACCGAGUCUUAACUGGGCGUUAAGUUGCAGGGUAUAGACCCGAAACCCGGUGAUCUAGCCAUGGGCAGGUUGAAGGUUGGGUAACACUAACUGGAGGACCGAACCGACUAAUGUUGAAAAAUUAGCGGAUGACCUGUGGCUGGGGGUGAAAGGCCAAUCAAACCGGGAGAUAGCUGGUUCUCCCCGAAAGCUAUUUAGGUAGCGCCUCGUGAAUUCAUCUUCGGGGGUAGAGCACUGUUUCGGCUAGGGGGCCAUCCCGGCUUACCAACCCGAUGCAAACUACGAAUACCGAAGAAUGUUAUCACGGGAGACACACGGCGGGUGCUAACGUCCGUCGUGAAGAGGGAAACAACCCAGACCGCCAGCUAAGGUCCCAAAGUCAUGGUUAAGUGGGAAACGAUGUGGGAAGGCACAGACAGCCAGGAUGUUGGCUUAGAAGCAGCCAUCAUUUAAAGAAAGCGUAAUAGCUCACUGGUCGAGUCGGCCUGCGCGGAAGAUGUAACGGGGCUAAACCAUGCACCGAAGCUGCGGCAGCGACACUAUGUGUUGUUGGGUAGGGGAGCGUUCUGUAAGCCGUUGAAGGUGUGCUGUGAGGCAUGCUGGAGGUAUCAGAAGUGCGAAUGCUGACAUAAGUAACGAUAAAGCGGGUGAAAAGCCCGCUCGCCGGAAGACCAAGGGUUCCUGUCCAACGUUAAUCGGGGCAGGGUGAGUCGACCCCUAAGGCGAGGCCGAAAGGCGUAGUCGAUGGGAAACAGGUUAAUAUUCCUGUACUUGGUGUUACUGCGAAGGGGGGACGGAGAAGGCUAUGUUAGCCGGGCGACGGUUGUCCCGGUUUAAGCAUGUAGGCGGAGGUUCCAGGUAAAUCCGGUACCUUUUAACGCUGAGGUGUGAUGACGAGGCACUACGGUGCUGAAGUAACAAAUGCCCUGCUUCCAGGAAAAGCCUCUAAGCAUCAGGUAACACAAAAUCGUACCCCAAACCGACACAGGUGGUCAGGUAGAGAAUACCAAGGCGCUUGAGAGAACUCGGGUGAAGGAACUAGGCAAAAUGGUGCCGUAACUUCGGGAGAAGGCACGCUGAUAUGUAGGUGAAGCCCCUGCGGGUGGAGCUGAAAUCAGUCGAAGAUACCAGCUGGCUGCAACUGUUUAUUAAAAACACAGCACUGUGCAAACACGAAAGUGGACGUAUACGGUGUGACGCCUGCCCGGUGCCGGAAGGUUAAUUGAUGGGGUUAGCGGCAACGCGAAGCUCUUGAUCGAAGCCCCGGUAAACGGCGGCCGUAACUAUAACGGUCCUAAGGUAGCGAAAUUCCUUGUCGGGUAAGUUCCGACCUGCACGAAUGGCGUAAUGAUGGCCAGGCUGUCUCCACCCGAGACUCAGUGAAAUUGAACUCGCUGUGAAGAUGCAGUGUACCCGCGGCAAGACGGAAAGACCCCGUGAACCUUUACUAUAGCUUGACACUGAACACUGGUCCUUGAUGUGUAGGAUAGGUGGGAGGCUUUGAAGCGUGGACGCCAGUCUGCGUGGAGCCGUCCUUGAAAUACCACCCUUUAAUGGCUGGUGUUCUAACGUUGACCCGUAAUCCGGGUUGCGGACAGUGUCUGGUGGGUAGUUUGACUGGGGCGGUCUCCUCCCAAAGAGUAACGGAGGAGCACGAAGGUUAGCUAAUCCUGGUCGGACAUCAGGAGGUUAGUGCAAUGGCAUAAGCUAGCUUGACUGCGAGAGUGACGGCUCGAGCAGGUGCGAAAGCAGGUCAUAGUGAUCCGGUGGUUCUGAAUGGAAGGGCCAUCGCUCAACGGAUAAAAGGUACUCCGGGGAUAACAGGCUGAUACCGCCCAAGAGUUCAUAUCGACGGCGGUGUUUGGCACCUCGAUGUCGGCUCAUCACAUCCUGGGGCUGAAGUAGGUCCCAAGGGUAUGGCUGUUCGCCAUUUAAAGUGGUACGCGAGCUGGGUUUAGAACGUCGUGAGACAGUUCGGUCCCUAUCUGCCGUGGGCGCUGGAGAAUUGAGGGGGGCUGCUCCUAGUACGAGAGGACCGGAGUGGACGCAUCACUGGUGUUCGGGUUGUCAUGCCAAUGGCACUGCCCGGUAGCUAAAUGCGGAAGAGAUAAGUGCUGAAAGCAUCUAAGCACGAAACUUGCCCCGAGAUGAGUUCUCCCUGAGACUUUAAGUCUCCUGAAGGAACGUUGAAGACUACGACGUUGAUAGGUCGGGUGUGUAAGCGCAGCGAUGCGUUGAGCUAACCGAUACUAAUGAACCGUGAGGCUUAACCUU